AUUUUUCGGGAAUGUUUUAUUAUGAAUAGUAUCUGUAAAUAAGCUAAUUGCGGGUAUUAGCCAGGGAUUGUUCUACAAAAAAUAGGACACGCAGCAGCAUGAGAGUGUGACACGUACCCCUAUAUUCCACCGCCUGUACUCCCUUUCUUCUUUCCUUUUCUUAAUGUCAUCACUUUUGAAACCUCAAGUCUCGGUCUCUCCUACCUCUCGUUCUCUCCCCAACUGAGUGUUCUUUUCCUCCUCCCUGCCUUUUUCAUUCCUGCAGCUGUGUGAUUAAUUGGGGGAGAGUGAAAUUAGGGUUUGUCCGUCUUCACUCAAUCAAAGGAUUUGGACGAGGCGUAUACGACCGAAGACGUUCAGAAAGUCAAACGGUGUUCCAAAGCGAAUGAGGAACGAAUCGAGUAAGUGAAGCAGUGUGGCGAAUAAAGUAUAGCCAGAGAUGGUCUAGAUACUAUGAUAUGCAUAGGUUGUGAGUUGGAAAGAUGAGAUUAAGCUGUGUGUGGAAGCGGAUUUAAGAAAAGCUUAGAGAUGAAUUGCUUGAUUGAGAUUGCGAGUAUGGCUAAGGCUAAGCGAGGAGUCAGAGUUAUAGAAUAUCCAGAGGACAAGUGGAAUGUCCAGGGAGAUUGUCAAGGUUUUCAAAAGUGUUUAAAAAUGGGUUUUGUGUGGUGACGUCAGAAUCCAGACCCCCGGAUUCUCGGGCUGUCACAGUUGGUAUCAGAGCAACAGGUUAUAAGUUAUUGAAAUUAGAAUAUAGAUUGUGGUUAUAAGUUUUAUAGAGAAAAAGUGUUCAGUGACCUCAUAUAGAGGUAUUGUGAGACUGUCUGGGGAUAGUCUAGAGAGGUAAUCGGAAUAGAAUCUAGAUAGUUAAUUAAGUUGAGGGUACAUGUUUAGAUAGAUCAUGGUUCCUAAGUCUAGAUACUUGGUUUCUAGUAUGGGGACUGAUUGAGAUAGUGAAUUGUGAUAAGGGUCAGAGUCGGACCUAGUCAAAAGAGUAUUAAUAAUGAAUGAUUAAGUUAAGAAUGAUAAAGAUGCAUGGUUUGGAGUAUUCUGACCAUGUUACAUAUUUGAAAGUGGUUUAUCGUUUGAAUUGAAAUGUAGAAGAAUGGAUGUUGAAUAUGAGAUAUUGUGAAUUAGAAAGAGAAUUUUGUAGAUAGAUGUGAUGUGAAUGAUAGAGAGUAGGUGGAAUUGAGUCUAGUUAUCAGAAGUAAUAUUGUGAGUGAGAUAGAACGUUAGUCUUAACGACGACGCUUCAAGCUAACCGGCAUUUCAUCUGCUAUCAAGAUGAACCUGCUUCAUUGCGAAUGAUAAUGUCUACAAGGAAAUCUUACGAGGCUAUCACGAGUUAAUGAUGAUCGAUUAUCGAGAACGUCGAGAAGAGGACAUACAUUGAACAACGAUUUAUGG